GUAAAUGCGAUAUAGAAGAAGCAGUAAGUUAUACCGAUUAUUCAGAGACUUCUGGGUUGGUGCGAACAGAGGAAAUUGGUUAGCUGAAUUCAUCUUCUUAGCUGAAAUUGGGAGUUCUAAUAACGAAAAAUUUUCCGGUUAUCGCCGUUAUCGAUUUGAAGUGUUCGUCUAGUCUUUACUGGACGUGAACUAGGGUGGUACCGCGAGAAACCUCGUCCCUUUU
rnacentral:ncRNA from 1 species